ACUAUCACACACUCUUUUCAGUUAUCACUCCAAUGGCUUCUUCUUCUAUAUUCAUCUCUCGAAUCUCCCCUCCCUUAAUUCGUAGCUUCACCACCUUCUCUGCUAAAUUAGAUUCUUCAUCUUCUUUCUCUCUCCUCUCUAAUCUUACCCAGCAAAGGAAUCGAACUCGAUCGUUUUCAGUCACUUCAUCAAUGGCGGCGGCGUCAUCGGAACCCAAGGAGGCUGUUUCUAACAAUCCUGGUCUUCAUUCUACACCUGAUGAUGCUACCAAGGGUUAUAUUAUGCAGCAAACUAUGUUUCGAAUUAAGGACCCGAAAGUGAGCUUGGAUUUCUAUUCUCGUGUGCUGGGCAUGUCACUUCUGAAGAGAUUGGAUUUUGCUGAGAUGAAAUUUAGCUUGUACUUCAUGGGAUAUGAGGAUCCUUCAUCAGCUCCUAGUGAUCCAGUAGACCGAACUGUUUGGACCUUCAGUAAGAAAGCUACAGUUGAACUUACUCACAACUGGGGCACAGAGAGUGAUCCUGAAUUCAAAGGUUAUCACAAUGGAAACUCAGAGCCUCGCGGCUUUGGGCACAUAGGGAUAACCGUUGAUGACACUUACAAGGCAUGCGAGAGAUUUGAACAGUUGGGUGUGGAGUUUGUAAAGAAGCCUGAUGAUGGCAAAAUGAAAGGGAUUGCAUUUAUAAAGGAUCCUGAUGGCUACUGGAUAGAAAUAUUUGAUCUUAAUACAAUAAAAAGUGCUGCUGGUGUUGUCUCUUGAAGCUUUCUUGCAGGUGGCUUUCUGUUACUUUUUUAGUCAUACCAUGAAGUUUUAUUGAAGAAUUCUUCUCAUUGAUGACACCGGACGAUUCCAUAUGGGCUACUUUUGAUUGCUGAUGGAAGGGCACAUAUAGUCUGGCUUUGAAUGUUAACAGAUGUUUUUAGCUUCAGAUUCUGAUGUGAUUCUUCUUUCCGCAUUUAACUUUUACAAUUUAAUAUAAACACUAAGUUUCGUUUGUUAUGUACUCCAUAUGAUUUGUUAUAAUAAUUUAAAGAAGAUUUUCUGGGUAAUGAUAUAGAAA